AUUGAACGCUGGCGGCAGGCUUAACACAUGCAAGUCGAGCGGGGAAGGGUAGCUUGCUACCUAACCUAGCGGCGGACGGGUGAGUAAUGCUUAGGAAUCUGCCAUUUAGUGGGGGACAACAUUCCGAAAGGAAUGCUAAUACCGCAUACGUCCUACGGGAGAAAGCAGGGGAUCUUCGGACCUUGCGCUAAAUGAUGAGCCUAAGUCGGAUUAGCUAGUUGGUGGGGUAGAGGCCUACCAAGGCGACGAUCUGUAGCGGGUCUGAGGGGAUGAUCCGCCACACUGGAACUGAGACACGGCCCGGACUCCUACGGGAGGCAGCAGUGGGGAAUAUUGGACAAUGGGCGGAAGCCUGAUCCAGCCAUGCCGCGUGUGUGAAGAAGGCCUUAUGGCUGUAAAGCACUUUAAGCGAGGAGGAGGCUACUUAGAUUAAUACUCUAGGAUAGUGGACGUUACUCGCAGAAUAAGCACCGGCUAACUCUGUGCCAGCAGCCGCAGUAA
rnacentral:rRNA from 1 species